UGAGGAAUAUUGGGCAAUGCCCGCAAGGGUGACCCAGCAACGCCGCGUGGAGGAUGAAUGUCGUAAGAUUGUAAACUCCUGUUAGAGGGGAAGAAUAGUACCGGUUGGACCGGUAUAUGACUGUACCCUCAGAGAAAGCCCCGGCUAACUACGUGCCAGCAGCCGCGGGAAUACGUAGGGGGCAAGCGUUGUCCGGAUUUACUGGGUGUAAAGGGCGCGCAGGCGGGAUAAAAAGUCAGUGGUGAAAUCCUACAGCUCAACUGUAGAACUGCCUUUGAUACUUUUAUUCUUGGGCUCGGGAGAGGGAGAUGGAAUUCCAGGUGUAGUGGUGAAAUACGUAGAUAUCUGGAAGAACACCAGUUGCGAAGGCGGUCUCCUGAUCCGACACUGACGCUGAGGCGCGAAAGCGUGGGGAACAAACA
rnacentral:rRNA from 1 species